rfam:Mesocricetus auratus contig099378, whole genome shotgun sequence.
GGGGAUGUAACUUGGUUGGUAAAGUGCUUGCCUGGCGGGCAGGAAACCCUGGGUUCUGUCCCCAGCACCA